rnacentral:tRNA from 1 species
GGAGGGAUGCCCGAGUGGUUAAAGGGGACGGACUGUAAAUCCGUUGGCUUUGCCUACGUUGGUUCAAAUCCAACUCCCUCCACCA